rnacentral:rRNA from 3 species
UUAAGCGACUAAGCGUACACGGUGGAUGCCCUGGCAGUCAGAGGCGAUGAAGGACGUGCUAAUCUGCGAAAAGCGUCGGUAAGGUGAUAUGAACCGUUAUAACCGGCGAUGUCCGAAUGGGGAAACCCAGUGCAAUUCGUUGCACUAUCGUUAACUGAAUACAUAGGUUAACGAGGCGAACCGGGGGAACUGAAACAUCUAAGUACCCCGAGGAAAAGAAAUCAACCGAGAUUCCCCCAGUAGCGGCGAGCGAACGGGGAGCAGCCCAGAGUCUGAAUCAGCUUGUGUGUUAGUGGAACGGUCUGGAAAGUCCGACGGUACAGGGUGAUAGUCCCGUACACCAAAAUGCACAGGCUGUGAACUCGAAGAGUAGGGCGGGACACGUGGUAUCCUGUCUGAAUAUGGGGGGACCAUCCUCCAAGGCUAAAUACUCCUGACUGACCGAUAGUGAACCAGUACCGUGAGGGAAAGGCGAAAAGAACCCCGGCGAGGGGAGUGAAAAAGAACCUGAAACCGUGUACGUACAAGCAGUGGGAGCACCUUCGGGUGUGACUGCGUACCUUUUGUAUAAUGGGUCAGCGACUUAUAUUCUGUAGCAAGGUUAACCGUAUAGGGGAGCCGCAGGGAAACCGAGUCUUAACUGGGCGUUAAGUUGCAGGGUAUAGACCCGAAACCCGGUGAUCUAGCCAUGGGCAGGUUGAAGGUUGGGUAACACUAACUGGAGGACCGAACCGACUAAUGUUGAAAAAUUAGCGGAUGACUUGUGGCUGGGGGUGAAAGGCCAAUCAAACCGGGAGAUAGCUGGUUCUCCCCGAAAGCUAUUUAGGUAGCGCCUCGUGAACUCAUCUUCGGGGGUAGAGCACUGUUUCGGCUAGGGGGUCAUCCCGACUUACCAACCCGAUGCAAACUACGAAUACCGAAGAAUGUUAUCACGGGAGACACACGGCGGGUGCUAACGUCCGUCGUGAAGAGGGAAACAACCCAGACCGCCAGCUAAGGUCCCAAAGUCAUGGUUAAGUGGGAAACGAUGUGGGAAGGCACAGACAGCCAGGAUGUUGGCUUAGAAGCAGCCAUCAUUUAAAGAAAGCGUAAUAGCUCACUGGUCGAGUCGGCCUGCGCGGAAGAUGUAACGGGGCUAAACCAUGCACCGAAGCUGCGGCAGCGACACUAUGUGUUGUUGGGUAGGGGAGCGUUCUGUAAGCCUGCGAAGGUGUGCUGUGAGGCAUGCUGGAGGUAUCAGAAGUGCGAAUGCUGACAUAAGUAACGAUAAAGCGGGUGAAAAGCCCGCUCGCCGGAAGACCAAGGGUUCCUGUCCAACGUUAAUCGGGGCAGGGUGAGUCGACCCCUAAGGCGAGGCCGAAAGGCGUAGUCGAUGGGAAACAGGUUAAUAUUCCUGUACUUGGUGUUACUGCGAAGGGGGGACGGAGAAGGCUAUGUUAGCCGGGCGACGGUUGUCCCGGUUUAAGCAUGUAGGCUGAUUGUCCAGGCAAAUCCGGAUAAUCAAGGCUGAGGUGUGAUGACGAGGCACUACGGUGCUGAAGUAACAAAUGCCCUGCUUCCAGGAAAAGCCUCUAAGCAUCAGGUAACAUUAAAUCGUACCCCAAACCGACACAGGUGGUCAGGUAGAGAAUACCAAGGCGCUUGAGAGAACUCGGGUGAAGGAACUAGGCAAAAUGGUGCCGUAACUUCGGGAGAAGGCACGCUGGUGUGUAGGUGAAGUCCCUGCGGAUGGAGCUGAGACCAGUCGAAGAUACCAGCUGGCUGCAACUGUUUAUUAAAAACACAGCACUGUGCAAACACGAAAGUGGACGUAUACGGUGUGACGCCUGCCCGGUGCCGGAAGGUUAAUUGAUGGGGUUAUCCGUAAGGAGAAGCUCUUGAUCGAAGCCCCGGUAAACGGCGGCCGUAACUAUAACGGUCCUAAGGUAGCGAAAUUCCUUGUCGGGUAAGUUCCGACCUGCACGAAUGGCGUAAUGAUGGCCAGGCUGUCUCCACCCGAGACUCAGUGAAAUUGAACUCGCUGUGAAGAUGCAGUGUACCCGCGGCAAGACGGAAAGACCCCGUGAACCUUUACUAUAGCUUGACACUGAACAUUGAGCCUUGAUGUGUAGGAUAGGUGGGAGGCUUUGAAGCGUGGACGCCAGUCUGCGUGGAGCCAACCUUGAAAUACCACCCUUUAAUGUUUGAUGUUCUAACGUUGGCCCCUGACCGGGGUUGCGGACAGUGUCUGGUGGGUAGUUUGACUGGGGCGGUCUCCUCCCAAAGCGUAACGGAGGAGCACGAAGGUUAGCUAAUCCUGGUCGGACAUCAGGAGGUUAGUGCAAUGGCAUAAGCUAGCUUGACUGCGAGCGUGACGGCGCGAGCAGGUGCGAAAGCAGGUCAUAGUGAUCCGGUGGUUCUGAAUGGAAGGGCCAUCGCUCAACGGAUAAAAGGUACUCCGGGGAUAACAGGCUGAUACCGCCCAAGAGUUCAUAUCGACGGCGGUGUUUGGCACCUCGAUGUCGGCUCAUCACAUCCUGGGGCUGAAGUAGGUCCCAAGGGUAUGGCUGUUCGCCAUUUAAAGUGGUACGCGAGCUGGGUUUAGAACGUCGUGAGACAGUUCGGUCCCUAUCUGCCGUGGGCGCUGGAGAAUUGAGGGGGGCUGCUCCUAGUACGAGAGGACCGGAGUGGACGCAUCACUGGUGUUCGGGUUGUCAUGCCAAUGGCACUGCCCGGUAGCUAAAUGCGGAAGAGAUAAGUGCUGAAAGCAUCUAAGCACGAAACUUGCCCCGAGAUGAGUUCUCCCUGAGACUUUAAGUCUCCUGAAGGAACGUUGAAGACGACGACGUUGAUAGGCCGGGUGUGUAAGCGCAGCGAUGCGUUGAGCUAACCGGUACUAAUGAACCGUGAGGCUUAACCUU